rnacentral:rRNA from 1 species
GACGAAUCGUCCGAACGUUAUUCGGAAUCACUGGGCUUAAAGGGUGCGUAGGCGGCGCGGAAAGUUGGGUGUGAAAUCCCUCGGCUCAACCGAGGAACUGCGCCCAAAACUACCGUGCUCGAGGGAGAUAGAGGUGAGCGGAACUUAGGGUGGAGCGGUGAAAUGCGUUGAUAUCCUAAGGAACACCGGUGGCGAAAGCGGCUCACUGGAUCUCUUCUGACGCUGAGGCACGAAAGCUAGGGUAGCGAACGGG